rnacentral:rRNA from 1 species
CCUACGGGAGGCAGCAGUAGGGAAUAUUGCUCAAUGGGGGAAACCCUGAAGCAGCAACGCCGCGUGGAGGAUGAAGGUUUUCGGAUUGUAAACUCCUUUUGUUAGAGAAGAUAAUGACGGUAUCUAACGAAUAAGCACCGGCUAACUCCGUGCCAGCAGCCGCGGGAAUACGGAGGGUGCAAGCGUUAAUCGGAAUCACUGGGCGUAAAGGGGGCGUAGGCGGGAUAGCAAGUCAGAUGGGAAAUUCUAGGGCUUAACCAUAGAACUGCAUUUGAAACUGUUAUUCUAGAGUAUGGGAGAGGUAGGUGGAAUUCGUGGUGUAGGGGUGAAAUCCGUAGAGAUCAAGAGGAAUACUCAUUGCGAAGGCGGCCUGCUGGAACAUAACUGACGCUGAUGCGCGAAAGCGUGGGGAGCAAACAGGAUUAGAUACCCCAGUAGUC